rnacentral:misc_RNA from 1 species
UAGUAGUAGUAGUAAUUCUUACCUUGCCCACAUAGAUAAUUUGAUAUAUUCAUUGCAUGGUUCUUAAUAACAGGUGGUGAAGAUCUUGUUAGUUAACAUCCCAUGUUAACGUUUUACUACAGUUCAGGAAACAACAUGGAUAGAUUACAUAGUUAUCUCAAGAUUAUCAUCAGUCAUCAGUUAAAGAAAUGAAUUACCAAAUGUGUGAGUAAAUUCCCUGAUGAGAGUUCUUUGACGGGUUUGGAAGGUGGCCGAUGGUGGUCCUAACAAUCUAAUUCAGAAAUUCCUUAAUACAAGUAUAAAGCUUUUCCUGGGUUUACUGAAUUCCCCUGGUAAGUUUUAGGGGUAUGAUCACAGCUACUAAUUCGGGGAAA